GGGGACGUAGCUCAGCUGGUAGAGCGCCGCGUUUGCAACGCGGAUGUCGCAGGUUCGAACCCUGUCGUCUCCA
rnacentral:tRNA from 1 species